rnacentral:rRNA from 1 species
GAUGAACGCUAGCGGCAGGCCUAAUACAUGCAAGUCGAACGGUGUAGCAAUACACAGUGGCGCACGGGUGCGUAACACGUAUGCAACCUACCUUACAUUGGGGGAAAGCCUUUCGAAAGGGAGAUUAAUACCGCAUAAGACAGUAACUAGGCAUCUAGUAGCUGUUAAAGAUUUAUCGAUGUAAGCUGGGCAUGCGUCCAAUUAGUUAGUUGGCGAGGUAAUGGCUCACCAAGACGAUGAUUGGUAGGGGAACUGAGAGGUCAAUCCCCCACACUGGCACUGAGAUACGGGCCAGACUCCUAUGGGAGGCAGCAGUAGGGAAUAUUGGGCAAUGGGCGCAAGCCUGACCCAGCCAUGCCGCGUGCAGGAAGAAGGCGUUAUGCGUUGUAAACUGCUUUUAUACAGGAAGAAACGACCCUUGCGAGGGGCAUUGACGGUACUGUAUGAAUAAGCACCGGCUAACUCCGUGCCAGCCGCCGCGGUAAUAC